rnacentral:rRNA from 2 species
CAACUUUCAACAACGGAUCUCUUGGCUCUCGCAUCGAUGAAGAACGCAGCGAAAUGCGAUACGUAAUGUGAAUUGCAGAAUUCAGUGAAUCAUCGAAUCUUUGAACGCACCUUGCGCCCCUUGGCAUUCCGAGGGGCACACCCGUUUGAGUGUCG